GUUGUCAGGUUGGCUUUAUCUCAGACUGGCAACUAAGCGUGUGGACACAAAUUCCCUUGACUGUCAUUUUAAUAUUCUCUGGAUUUUCUUGCCUGGAAUUGGAUUAUGUUACUAACUACUACUUAAUUAGGUGUUGUAUGGUUACAGAUAUGUUUUGCUGCUAUUUGGUUCUCUAGGCUAUGAAAGGGUAUUGGUUGCUCUUCGAUACUGCUGGGAAACAAAUUGAUGCCGUACAUUUCAUUCAUGCCUUCCAGCUUAUUGAAAGCUUUCCCCCUGUUCCCCUCUUGAAGACGUACUUGAAGAAUUGAAGAAGAAACUCACAGGGGAAAGGGUGUGAGUUCGGGUAGAGAUACUAGUGACAGAUUGAUGUAAAUGCACAGGAACCUGCCGCUUUGAAAGCUGUAGUUAGUUGUGUCCAAGAGUACAGGCUUGAACCUGACUAUCCUCUUGAUCCACUUCAGAGAAGGAUUGAACAACUGGAGAGGUCGAAAUCUGAUAAGAAAAGGGGUGGAGAUUUUGGUAGAAGUCAAAACUUCAAGAAACAAAGAGCAAACUGAGGAUACCGUGGAUUUCUUUCUCACAGUGCCAAGGCAGCUUCUCGUAGGCUUGUUCUGCCUGUUUUCUGAUGUUUUGUGCACUUGCGAGCAAAACGCAACAUUUUCUUUGACAGGGCAGCAUAUGGAGGAAUGCCUGAGAGAUAUCCUCUGGCUGGUCCAAACUCUUAUGAUUAUCAAGUUCCUAGCCAUCCUGUUUUUGUUCAGCAACCAAAUGAUCAAAGAAU